CUGUGUGUAACUCCCGCCAUGAGCUUGUCCCCAAUACAAGAACUUCGCCCACCAAGUAGUCUUUUUUAUUGGUGGAAACACAAACAAUCUUGAAGCUGUUGGUUAUAUUAUCAAACCCCAUGCCAUACCAAUCAACAUCGCAGAGACUAUUGGAUGGAACUUGGACGUCACUCACUGAGGGGAGCAUUAGAACUUCUCCUUUGAAAGGAUUCACCAACAAGCAUGACCUCUCCAG
rnacentral:lncRNA from 1 species